rnacentral:lncRNA from 1 species
GAGUUAUUUUUCCCUCGCGUUCUUACGUAUUGAGCACCGAAGCACGCGUUAUAGGAUGCCUCGGCGUGUCCAACACCGAAGUAGGAACUGACCAAUUGUUCAAAGAUAAACUGUGGGUUUGUUUUGCUUCGUGGUGAAAGGGAAGAGCGUCACAGUAACACACGAGUUAUCCUUGGACCGAAGAGGCGUGUGCGUGUGUGUCGAGAUCGAGAGACAGUGAUGGAGAGGAAAAAGAAAGGAGAGGCUACCGUACCUUGCGUAAUUUCGUAAAACUCAUUUCAGCCAGAUUAUUAAAUAUUAUAGUGAAAUAAACGCCGAUCUGACGCGUUUCUUAAGUGCGACAUGUGCUUCUUUAUUGCUUUACUUUUUUAAUUAACGAACUGUCAAAUCUCGAAAUGGGUUUUCCUAACCUAACCUGCAUCGCAGUUCGCUCGACUGACGAUCGCGCUCGAUCGACUAAUUUUCAAGCCCACGAUUCUCAUCAUCUGUUGUUUUUAUAGUCGGUAGCACGAAUCUUGCACAUUGGAAAUUUAAUUUAAAAAUAAAUAUUCAAGUGUUUAUGUAUUUUUAGACAUUUGUCAGAUUCUUAUUGACAAUGAGGAGAAAAUAUCACUUGACAACUUAAUUCAGUGAAAAAACUAUAAUAUAACGUGCAACAGGACUAUUGAAGUGGGCAAAUUUUUUCACACUUUGGAGAGUUCGACUGUCGAUGUAUCACGUGAUGUCUUACAUACUUUGAGUUACGAUUCUGUGCAAAGAACCGGAGAAAGUGAUUGGGAUCCGAGUUUGUGUGUGUGUAAAUUCGUUUGUGUCUGUCGUAUUGGAAAGUUGAGAGUGAAAAAACGAAAUAUUGCUUCCUGUCAAUUUGGAGACAGCGAUCAAAUGCUCUGAGAGUGAAAAUUGUUUUUAUUAUCGUAUUUUCACUGUCCGCGGAAUAAAAUAUUAAAGACCGACGUUAAUUUUGCCAUGAAUUUGAGUUUUUUGAGAUAUUUAAGAAAAUAUCAUUUCGCGAUGAAAUAAUCCCGGAGAAAUAGGAGACAAAAUCACUUUCGUUGUCGAUUCGUAAAAAGAAAAGGUGAAAAGUGCAUACUUGACGGUUUAUUUGAAAUUCCCUGGACAAAGCCUCAAGCGAUCGAGAGUUCGCGCACUCCCCGACAACAAUUCAAAGUAUAUAUGCGGCGGUUAAAAUCGAUUUGUCCUUAGUCGAGAGAUGUACAGCACUUGCAAUUACGAAUUAUAAUGUCCAUGUGGCAUAAUUAUCCUCUUAUAUAUGAGCGCGUCAAAUUUAUCGUCAAUAGUACAGCCGGUGACGAUAAAUUCACACAACUGUUUUCGUGUUGCGGUAAAAAACAGGAAGUGGUUUUUUCCAAAUCACCGCCCCUCGUCGUUGUCCGUGUCACAGUUUUCUCAAAGUAUUUUUAACCAGAAGAAAAGUAUUGAUGCAAAUGAACAAUCGACCGACAAAUAUUUCGAGUACAGAGCGACUUUGUCCCACGAUAAAUCUACAAAAUUCAAUUGCAAGUCUGAUUUGAAUUUAAAAAAUUAAUUUACCAUCGCUCCAGAAAAAAUCCCCCACCAUGUUAUUAAAAAAUGGAAUGAAGUUACGUCAUUUGAUCGUGCAAUACAUUUAGACAUAGGAAUAAACAUGCUGACACUUUUUAUGGUCAAAUUCAGACUCUGCCUUAGCCAGUGGUCGAUGAAAUUAUUAACGGAUACACCGCGCGUCGCAGAUCGAAAAAUGUCACAGGUUUGGAAGCAUCGUGCGGAAAAAAUAACCGUUGUGUGUGCAUGAAAAAUUGUAAAUCGGCGUGUCGUGUGAAGCAUACAAAAUGCACGAGAGCCGGUGCAGCGUGAAGAAGCUUUUUGUGUAUUACGCAGUAAAAAAUCCACGUGCCGUUCCGGAUUAUAAAAAUGUAGAACGAAAUGCAAAAUAAAGUCAUCGCGAUCAUA